rfam:Elusimicrobia bacterium RIFOXYB2_FTLL_62_6 rifoxyb2_full_scaffold_49135, whole genome shotgun sequence.
UCCCGGGUGGUGUAACGGUAACACGCCAGCCUUUGGAGCUGGUUUUCCAGGUUCGAAUCCUGGCCCGGGAA